rnacentral:lncRNA from 1 species
UGCUUCUUUCUGAGGCUGUAACCUUUGUGGAAACAAGAACCAAGUCUGUUAUAAUCACUUCUCUAUUCCCAGCUUCCAGCACAGUGCCUAGUAUUUGCAGAAGCUGCUUAAAAAGUACUUCUUUAAUUGAGGAACCAAAAAUGAAAUGUGCACAAUUGAGAUUAAGUUAAAAUUGACAGGAAGGUGGUGGCUAUUUUGAGUCUAUGGUUAUAGGCUUGGUCUGUCCUCAUGCUGACUUGGUCUGCGUGCCUAGGUUCAAGAUUGCCUCCAUGGGGAAUAGGCCUGCCUGCACACGUCUUACAGCCAGGGAGAUUCUUACAAUAUAUCACUUGUACAUGAGUCCCUUUCUCAGGAUCUGCUUUUGUGGCAUUCACCCUAAAUGCAACACCAUAGAAUCCUUUAAACAAAGAACAAAACGUAAUGGGUUGAACUCUCAGCAGACUGCAAAGAUGAACAGAAAUCUGCAAAAGAUACUGAGAAUAAACAUCCAGUGUCAGAGAACAAAAAUCAUCAUGACAAUGUUUUAG